rnacentral:lncRNA from 1 species
GCCUGAAAAGCCUCUAACUGAAAUUGUUUGAAAGUGGAGCUGAUGGGACAAUCCCCCAACUAACUCCAUCUAUUGAAAUACUAUAUCAACUGAUAAUACUUAAAUAAAAAAUAUCCUCGAUAGAUGAGGACUCACUACUAAAUCUGACACUGUAGGCUGAAUCUGAAUUUUUCUAAGCGCGGUUGGGUACCUGAGCGUCCGAACCUAUGAUAUGAGACAUCAUAGCACAAAGAAAGAGUAUGCGUCAGUACGUGGAAUGUACUGGUAUACUAGAUGAGGUAAGUCUGAAUGUAAAGGUUCAUAUGCAUGAACAAUAACUAACUGAAUGAUAUAGAAUAACUGUACAUGAGUACAUGGAUAAUCUGAAACUGAUGUAAAUACUGAGUAUGCAAUACUAUGCAUAUAUCUAUAUAUUUUAACUGAGAUUUUCUGAAGCUAAGUACUGAGUCCUAAUAUCGAGAAACUGAUAUCUAAAUUUACUGAUAACUGAGUUACUAAUACUGAUUGACUGUAUCUGACAGUCCUGUUUCUGUAGAACUAAACUAAGUUCUAUACUGAAGAAUGAAAUUGAAACUAUGGGAGGUAAUCAUCUAACCGAUAUGCCCUAAAUCUGAGCUGAUAGAGGUCCAACCUGUGACCCUAGUUGAAAGGGUACUAAUAUUGUACCACGGUUACUAACACUGGAAAACCAAGAUGCCAAGACUAACUGACGGGUGACACCUGGGCGGAGUCAAGCCUAAUCUAAUGGGUGACUCCUGGGAGGUAGUCAAGCUUAGUCUGACGGGUGAAUCCUCAUCCUGCACUGGCUACAUAGUUCUAGAGUACAGGAACUACUGCUAACGACUCUGCCUCUCUGACAAGGAAGCUGUCAUCCCUGCACUCACUCGGUGCUAAAUUCUACUCUCAACUGAAAUAUAUUGAACUGAUUAUAUUGAACUGGACUAGACUGAUACUAAGUUUACUGAGUUUUCCUGAGUUUUGUAACUGACUGAGUUCUACUGAGUUCUGUAACUGACUGAAUUCUACUGAUCGUGACAUAACUGAUACUAUUCUGUAACUGACACUGGCUCUAGGUAAACAGCUAGAUUAUCGGGUAUUAAAUACCCCCAGGACUCGAUAACCUGAAAAAUAAAGCAUAGCAUAAUCUUGAAUAACAAUGUUUACUUGUUCAUAAUUCAUCCAUAAAGGCAUUUUAUCAAACACUUAAAAGGCAUAGGCUUGUACAUGAUUGGGACCAUAUAAUGACAUGUCAUGAUUCUAUUAUUUACUUCAUAUAGGCAUUUUAGCAAACACUUGGGGAGCAUGGAAUAUUUCUCAUGGUAAAAGUCACAUAUGAGUAUCAUGGAUACCAUAAUCAAUUGCAAAUUCAAGGGUUUAGCAUGCAAUUCAUAUAAUAUGUCACAUAACAAUUUCAAUUUUCAUGGAAACUUAUAAUUAAACAUGAAUUGGAUCCCAAUUUCUAUCAUGAACAUGAAUACACUCAAUUUCAAGCAUAGAAAUCAUAAAUCUGAGAUCUUGAGUUUUUAAAAAGGGCUCUUGGACUUCAUGGGUGAAAGGAAUCCGAUGAAUGAACACCUAACAUACCUUGGAUUGUUAAUUCUUGAAGGUUCUUGGAGAAAUUCUUGAGUUUUGACCUUGAUUCUUAAAGUUAGGGUUUUGUAUCUUGAGAGAGAAUGCUUUUAAUUUGGGAAAAAAAUUAUUUAAGAAUGACUUUUAAAACUUUUUUAGGGAUUAAAUCCCACACCUGGAUGUAUUAAAAUCAUGGGAAAAGACUAAUUUAAGCCUGGACAAAACUUUAAUUUUUUCAUAAAAAUUGUUCAAACUGGGCCCUUGGAGAGACACGCCAUAAUUGGGUCGGGCCACGGGAAAUUGAAAAUCGUGAAUGUGGUUGGUGACGCGAUGCGGUGGUAUCGUGUUGCCACGCUGGAUGCGACCUGGAAGUUCACCGCGAUACGGUGACAUCACGUAGCUUCAUUGGAAAAUGGACAAUUGUGAAAACAAGCCUUGGCGUGACGCGCCAGGAUCGCGGAGCUCACUGAAUUUGACAAUUGCCAUUUGGUCAUGCUCCACGAUGCGCUGAGUGCCAAAUUGGCACACUGUUUCACUAAAAUAUCUUUAACUCUUCGGUCGGGUAUCGAAUUUGAGCAAAUUUUAUAUCGUUGAAAAGCUAAUUGAAUUUUCUAUGCAAUGGCAGGAUCUAAACUUAAAAAUACUGAGUAUUUCAAAAAAAAAUUAUAUAGGAUUACUCAUGUACUAAGAUUUAAAUUAAGUUAGGGAAAUACGGGGUAUUACAAUAUCUCUCCCUUGGGAACAUUCGUCCUCAAAUGAGACUAAUUAAGGUGAGAAAUACUGAUAGACUGAGUUUACACACGAACAUGCACGACUGAAGCAUGACUACAUGACUGGAACUACUGACACACUGAGUUUACAUACUUAGCAUGCAUAUCUAAUGCAUGAAAUACAUGAUUAAACUGAUUCAUGAAUGCAUGAAUGAACGUGUAACGAUAAGGAAUACCAAGAUUAUAACCGUAAUUGAACAUGAAACUGAGUAAAUAUAAGGAAGGCUAUUACUUAGGCUGGGAAUACCGAUGAACCUGAGAUCAUUUACUGGACAUGUAUGAACGGGAACAUGAGAAUAUUACUGAGUCUGAAAUAUGAUAUAUGAACUGAACUGAUUUUCAUGGAUACAUGUCAUACGACUAAGAUUGGAACUUGAGGGUCUACUUAUAGUACCCAUUACUCUAAACUAAAUUUUAUUACGUGAAGAGAAACUGAAAGGUUUAGGACACGAAAGAUCGGGGGUUAUAGUGUAUCUCCCCCUUGGGACAUUAUGUCCCUCGAAGAAUGCUGACUUGGCUGAGAUACAAAGGAAAAGCUGAGAUAGUGCACAGGCACCUAAAGCUGAAUCGUUACUGAAUAUCUAGGAUCUGAAAUUGAGGCAUGAUACAUGAACUGGGAUGAAAUCGUAACUACUAGGAUGCUCUAUCUUGGAGCAGUCAUGCUCAAGAAACUUAGAAUAGUUUGACUAGAUGGGAGACCAUACGAACUUGUCCACCUGACUGCUAAACUGAAUUGAUGGCUUUACGGACUAACUUAUACUGAAAACUUAUAUUCAACUAGAGUAUUUAUUUGACACUCUUUAUAUAAAUUUCUAAUGACUUUAGGGAGCGAGGAAUCUUGGCAUGGUCAGAAUAAGUCAUCUAAAUAAAAAAUUGCUACUUGGCUAAAAUUCUACAAUAUGGACACUGAUAACCCUACCUACUGAGGUCUGAGCUGAACUAAAUUCUCCUGUUAAGUUCAAGCCUACUCAAAUAUCCAAAAUAUAUUUAGCCACUUACACAUCAACAUGACAUUCAAGGCUAUCUUCAUAACUAAAGCCUCAUGUAAAAUAAGCAUGUAACAAUCUUUUCUUAAUAUGAAACAUUUACUCUCUCCCAUCUAGGCAACUGCUCAUCACUACAUUAUUUCAUAAGGAGAGUUCACUAAAGGUUAAAACAUGAGGACCUGAGGCAUUAAUGGACACUACACAGAACUUGACAUUUAACAGAAGCCUGAGGAAUAGAAUAUCAUCAUCAUGGAUUUAUGAAGAAGUAUAAACUGAGGAUGUACAUGACAAAGUUUGAAUUUGGCUGAUCAUUAGAAGUGUAGCAUGAGUCAUGGGACCUGAGCAUACUGUAAAGCAAGUCAUGAGUACAUGAGUCAUGAGCUGCAUGAUCUGAGUUUGUAGUUUCUGCAUUCAUGGGACAUGAUUCGUGACACUGAGCGAACUGAAACUCUUUAUACUAGGAACUGGAAUCGUACAUGAUUUUCUAUAAUGUGCACGAAUAUGAGCUAUGAUCAUAGAGCUGACGUGUAAGGCAUAAGUAGAUACCAUGCUAGCUGAAGUGUAAAACUUUGCGCUGAGGUAAAGAUGGGUUGGACAUCAUCCCCUCCUACUACUUUUCUACGUAUACUGAUAUUACUACAAAAAUUUGAAAGCCUAACUUGGUUACUUGUUCUACCAUCUCCCCCUUAGCUUAAAGCGAUUAUUUUAAAGUUGUGAACCACUUAAUCAACAAGUCUAAACUAAAAUAUCACCACCUUCCUCUAGAGUUUGUGGGAGACAUAGAGGAGGGCUCUGCUAAUAUAUCAAGUCUGACACUGAAAUUGACCGCUAUAUUGGGGUUACAAAGAAAGUAAAGCCACGUGAUCUAACAAGGCAUAACAUAAAGAUGAAAGACUCAUAAAGUACCCGUAACUAUAUUAGGAGAACUUCCCUGAUCAUGGCGAGACUGAAGUGCAUAAAAUCUGUUCUAGCGUUGACCACUAGUGGUACUGAAAGUGGCGCCCUACUGAGUUGGGAAAUCGUAUAAGACUGAAGGAUAGUUGAACUGACCCUGUUGACACAAACCUAUUUCCCUCUAAGCCAUUACUCUACACUCUCGCAUCCUAUGGCCUAGCUUACUACAUCCAAAACACACAUCGUUGCCUGCUCUACAUACAGCUAGGUGAUUUCUACCACGUUCUUUGCAAAAUGGAAGGGUAUGAAUGCUGUUAAUACUACCCUAGGUUUUAGAGCCUGGUGCCCCAUCUCAACUGUUAUUCCUGAACUUUGGUACUGGCGCACUAGCUGAGGAUGGAGCUGGAACUGAAGAUUUUGAAUAAAACUGGGAACGAUUACCGCCUUCUGACUUAGACUGAGUAAAAUUAAAGCUAUCUGUUCUAGCCCUCUUAUUUUUCCUCUCCUUCUUCUUAAGCUUUUGCUCCUCAAUCUAUUGAGCAUGGACCAUAAGCCUAGAUAUGUCCAUCUUCUUACUUAACAUCGCAGUCCUACACUCCUUGACCAUACUAUCUGAUACCACAAAUAAAAACUUAUUUAUUCUGGACCUAUUGUCUGCUACUACAUGGGGAGCAUACCUGACUAAUUGAGUAAACUUAGGGGAAUACUAUUUCACACUCAUACUGCCUUGCCUGAGAUUAAUGAACUCUAACAUUUUGGCUUCUCUCAGCUCUAAGGGAAAAAAAUCUAUCUAAGAAGGUUGUAGCAAACUCUUUCCAUUCUAUGGGCUAUGAAUCUGUGUCCCUGUUUACUUUUCACUACUUAAACACUGUAUGAGCCAUAUCUUGUAGCUGAUAGGCAGCUAACUCAACACUCUCACUGGAAGUCACUCCCAUGAUAUCUGUGACUUUCUAAACAUGAUCUAGGAACUCCUGUGGAUCCUCUUCUGACUUAGAUCCUGAGAAUAUGGGAGGAUUCAUUCGAGUGAAGUCCCAAAUCCUGGCUGAAGCAGUAUUGGCUACUGGGUUGACCUGAAUAACAGCUGUCCGAACAUUCUGAGUUGCUACAGAAUUGGCUAGAGUAGUUAAUGCAGCUCUGAAUUUUGCAGGAGAGACAUGCUCGUCCAAGGGAUUUUCUUGAACGGGCUAAGGUUCUGACUAGUUCACAAUUCUUCUUUCGUUAGUUCUUUUGGGAGGUAUAUUCUAUAAACAAAAGAAAGAAGCAGAUUGGACUGAGAGUUUAACUUGAUCUUAUGCUCACUCGCACGACAUGAAUAUUGAAAGGACAGAAACUUUUCCUAAAACAUCUCAUAGCCUCUUGUCCAUAAGUGUGGCGUGCUACACACCCAUGCACAAGAUUCUAUGUGGUGUGGCUUUCAGACUUCCUAGGACUCUGUUGAACCUUAGGCUCUGAUACCAAGUUUGUAACGCCCUGAGUCUAUACUCCGAAUGUUGCAUAGUGCUUACAACCACGAAGGACCACAAGCUAACCCAUGAUUGAUAUCUGUUGUGAGCCCUGAAUAAUAUACUGUAAUAAAUACAGAAAAUAGGCAGAGUUUCCAUAAGGUUCAAAUUUAAAUACUGAUAAAAGUAAAUAACAUCUGAUAAAACAUCUGGAAAUCUAAAUACUGUCUAAAAAUUAGUCUGAAAAGCCUCUAACUAAAAUUGUCUGAAAGUGGAGUUGAUGGGACAAUCCCUUAACUAACUCCAUCUACUAAAAUACUGUAUCUACUGAUAAUACUGAAAUAAAACAUAUCCUCGAUUGAUGAGGACUCACUACUAAAUCUGACACUAUAGGCUAAAUCUGAAUCUGUCUAAGCACGAUCGGGAAUCCGAGCAUCCGAACCUAUGAUAUGAGAUAUUAUAACAUAAAGAAAGAGACGUCAGUACGUGGAAUAUACUGUUAUGCUAUAUGAGGUGAGGCUGAAUGCAAGGGUUCAUAUCAUGAACAAUAAUUGAUUGAAUGAUAUAGAAUAACUGAACAUGAGUACAUAGAUAACCUGAAACUGCUGUAAAUACUAAGUAUACAAUACUAUGCAUAUAUCUAUAUACUGUAACUGAGAUUUUCUGAAGCUAAGUACUGAGUUCUGAUACUGAGUAACUGAUAUCUGAAGUUACUGAUAACUGAGUUACUAAUACUGAUUGACUGUAUCUGACAGUCCUAAUUCUAUAGAACUGAACUGAGUUCUUUACUGAAGACUGAAACUAAAAUUAUAGAAGGUAAUCAUCUAACUGAUAUGUCCCAAAUCUGAGUUGAUAGGGGUCUAACCUGUGACCUCAGUUUGAAGGGUGCUAAUAACGUGCCAAGGGUACUAACACUGGAAAACCAAGAUGUCAAGCCUAACUGAUGGGUGACACCUGGACGGAGUCAAGCCUAAUCUAACGGGUGACCCCUGGGUAGUCAAGCCUAGUUUGACGGGUGACUCCUUAUCUUGCAUGGGCUAUGCAGUUCUGGAGUACAAGGACUACUACUAACGACUCUGUCUCUCUGACGGGGAAGUCAUCAUCCCUGCACUCGCUCGGUGCUAAAUCCUACUGCCAACUAAAAAACACUGAAUUAAUUAUACUGAAUUGGACUAGAUUGAUAUUGAGUUUAUUGAGUUUUCCUAAGUUUUGUAACUGAUUGAGUUCUACUGAGUUCUGUAACUGACUGAAUUCUACUGAUCGUUACAUGACUGAUACUGUUUUGUAACUGGCACUGGCUCUAGGUAAACAACUAGAUUUUAGGGUAUUAAAUACCCCUAGGACUUAAUAGCAUGAAAAAUAAAGCAUAGCAUAAUCUUGAAUAAGAUAACAAUGUUCACUUGUUCAUAAUUCAUCCAUAAAGGCAUUUUAUCAAACAUUUUAAAGCAUAGGCUUGUACAUGAUUAGGACCACACAAUGAUAUGUCAUGAUUCCACUAUUUACUUCAUGUAGGCAUUUUAGCAAAAACUUGGGGAGUAUUUCUCAUGGUAAAAGUCACAUAUGAGCAUUAUGGAUACCAUAGCAUGCAAUUCACAUAACUAUUUCAAUUUUCCUGAAAACUUAUAAUUAAACAUGAAUUGGAUCCCAGUUUCUAUCAUGAACAUGAAUACACUCAAUUUCAAGCAUGAAAAUCAUAAAUCUGAGAUCUUGAAUUUUUCAACAGGGUUCUUGGACUUCAUGGGUGAAAGGAAUCCCAUGAAUGAACACCUAACAUACCUUGAAUUGUUAAUUCUUGAAAGUUCUUGGAGAAAUUCUUGAGCUUUGACCUUGAUUCUUGAAGCUAGAGUUUUGUAUCUUGAGAGAGAAUGCUUUUAAUUUGGGAGAAAAUUGUUUAAGAAUGACUUUUAAAACAUUUUAGGGAUUAAAUCCCAUACUCGGACGUAUUAAAAUCAUGGGAAAAAAACAAUUUAACCCUGGACGAAACUUUAACUUUUUUCAAAAAAAAAUUUUCAAACUGGGCCCUUGGCGCUGUCAUACCCGAUUUUUACCUAAGUUCAAAACGAGCACGACAUUAUGGACUCUAAAAGAAUGAAUUAUGUACAGAGUCGCCACCUAAUUUUUAAGGAAAAAUAGAAAACCUAUUUAUUUAUUAACAAAUAUGAUAUUAUUCUAAUCUACGAAACCAAUUUAGAUUCUAGAUAAGGGUUCAGAAAGAAAGGUAUGAGGCACCCUUCCGGAUCCACAAAUGUAGUUCCCGACCAGACUUAGGUUUAUUAAAAGAUAAAAAAAUCUAUGUGUAUAUAUACAAAUAUAAAAUGCAUACUAAAAUGAUGUAAAUAAUUUAUAUAUAAAAUAUGUAUAAUUACCUAUAUUAUAAUAAAACUAUGUAUAAAGUAUAUGAAGAUAAUGUUAAUAAAAAUACAUAUAAGAAUGUACAUGAAAAGAAAAAAAAUAAAGAUUAAGUAAAGGAAAAUUUAUUUUAAAGAAAAAAUUCUGUAAUGUUUUUAAUGUAAAAAUUAUGAAUUAUUUGAUUAGAUGUCUAAAUCAAUUUAAUAUAAAUAUUAAUGGUUUAAAUUUGCCAAAUCGUGUGUUAAAGAUUGCGUAAGCAAACAUAUCCCCACCCAACACCCAAAAGUAAAGUUUUCACUAUGAUAAUAUGUUAUACAAGUAUAAAAAUAUAAAAAUACAAAAAUACAAUAUAAAACUUAAAGUCUUCUUUGGAGAUCCUUCUCGACGAGCACUCCUAAAAACCAGUACAAACACUUGUAAUAAAAAUAUUAGCAACAAAUAAAUAAUAAAAGGACAUAUGCACAUAUAUGUAUUUAAAAGUAUAAUUUUUAUUAUAAUGCAGGCUCAAAUAAACUAUUAAAAAAAUAAAAUACAAUAAUAAUAAAAUUUUUAUCAUUGCCCAAAUUUAUUUAUUACGUAUUUAUAUACAUAAUAUCCGUCUUUUAAUUUGUGUAGGCCUCGAAAAUCAACGGAUAAUUUCUUCAUCGGCCAAAUAUAUUUUUUUUAUUUUUUUUCAUUAUAGACAUAAAAAUGCCUGAAAUAAAAUAACAAUGAUAAUUAAAGCAAUUUCAUAAAGUAGCAAUGGUUAAAAAAAAUAAUAAAUGAUAAUAAUAAUAAUAAUAAUAAUAAUAAAUGAUUAAAGCAGCAUAAUGAUUGAAACAGUACAAUAAAUAAAGCACUACAAUAAUUAAUAAAGCAACAUAAUAAUUAAAGCAACACAAACAACACAAUAAUUAAAACAAAAUAAUUAUUAAAGCAACAAUAAUUAAAUAAUAACAAUAAUAAAUCCCACAACAACUAAAUAAGCAAACAAUGAAAAUAAAAUCCGUCUUUUUAUAAUGGGAUGGCCUCAAAUAUCCAGACGAAAAGAUAAUUUCAUUGGCUAAUAUAUUAAUACUAACUAUAAAAGAAAUAAUUAAAUAAUUAAAUCUAAAAAAAUUGAAAUCAAUCUCUAGCUUUUGUUCUUGGGAGACAUCAAAGAUCAAACCCACAAAUUUUCAUUAUUCAAUUAAUUUAUUAAUGACAUAAAAUAAAAGGUAGAAACAAAUAUGCUAUUAAAGUAGUUCAAUUUAGACCAAAAUAAAUAAAUAAAAAGCAAUUUCCAUAACCUAAUAAAAUUAUGAUAGUGAAUCAAAAGCAACAUAAAACAAAAUAAUAAUAAGCAAAAAUUACAAAAACAACAACAAAAAUAAAAUAAAUAAAUAUGUUCAAAGAUGUCAAGAAAAAGUAAAGCAACAUAAUACUACAAAUUAUCCAAAGAUAUCAUGAAAAACGUAAUGCAGCCAUAAAAAUAAAAAAUAGUCCAAAGUUAUAAUAACAACUAAUUAUAGCCAAUUUUCCCUGCAAAGCCCGUCAUUUCUUCUUCAUCCUCAGUAUAAGCAAAUUUAACAAUAAAAACAGUACCACUUCAACCACACAAGUCAAAAAAACAUAUACACAACACAUAGUGUGACUGUGUCAUAGCAUUAGUAUCCAAGAACUCGCUAAAAAAACUCUGAUCUUUACAUCAAGAAUGACAACACUUGAAAUUUAUUUUUACAAAACACAAAUAUAAUGGUGAAGCAAAAAGGGGGAACUUGAACGGUAUUGCUUCAACGAAGUUUCACCGGAGCAAUGCAAAAAUAUAACUAUCAUCUAGAUCUGCAAAAUAAAGAAAAAAAAAAACGAAAAAGAUGAAAGAAUAGUAUAAAGAGGAAAGAGAAGUGAAAAUUAUAGUGAAGUGAAAAGAUGUGGAUGUUAUUGGAUGAAAUGAAAACCUAUCGUUAGUGUGUUUUUGUUUAUGCGUGUGUGUAUUUAUUAGGAAGAAGAAGAAAGUUGUGUAUAUAAUAAUAAUAUAAUAAGAAAUGUAACAUCUACCUUUUCUUUUUUUCUUACAACAAGAUCCAUAAAUUCCGAAUGGUACAUAAUUAAAGUAAAAAAAAAAGUUAUCAACUUUUGAUUCUGAUUUAUUAUUUUAUGUAUUAAAAUAAUUAAAUCGACUCAUUUUGUAAUUUGUAUUAAAUAAUUUAUCAAAAAAAUAUGAAAAAUAUAUCAUGCUAUAAAUAAAUAAAAUUAUACUACGCUAUAAUGAAUUGCAAUGUUAUGUUGUAUAUGUACGCCGAUGACUGUGCAAAAUAUUAAAAUUAUAAUAAACUGAUAAAAAUCUUACAAUUUAUGAAAUUAAGUGUGUAAAUAUUUGUGGUGUUGUAGUAAAAUAAUAAUAAUAAUAAUUGUGUUAAGUGGUAGGUGGAAGAUUAGGUGGGAAGAGAUAGGUGGAAUAGGGUAGUGAGAGAUAAAAAUGAGUAAAUAUUAAUUAUUCGGAGAGGGAUAAAAUUACGUGUCUGUGUCUAUACUGUACAAAUUAAUAAUAAUAUAUUACUAUUGACCGUACAUCACUAUUCAUCGUCUGUCACUAUUCAUCUUAGUUACUAUUCACCAUACGUUACUAUUCAUCAUUCGUCACUAUUCAUUGUAGUUACUAUUUAUCACCAGUAUUCAAUCAAUCAUCUCGAUAACAUCGUGCAUGUGUACGAAUGAUUUUUUUUUUUAAAUAUUAAAAGAUAAUAAAUUGAUAAAAAUUCUGAAAUAAAAAUAAUUAUUAAUAAAUUAUGUAAAAAUUAAAAUAUGACAAUAAAUUAAGAAAAAUCCUAAAAUAAUGAUUAUUAUCAACAAUUUAUUAACAAUUGCAAAAAAUAUGUGAAAAUUGCAUAUUAUGUCAUUUAACGGUCAGAAAGCCUAAAUGCGUUAAUUUCACGUUUGGAGAGCCAAAAUUGAGUGUCAACAGGCGCGACGCGCCAUGAUCGCGUCGGGCCACUGGAAACUGGCAAUCGUGAAUGUGGCUGGUGGCACGACCUGGUGGUAUCACAUUGCCACACUGGAUGCAACCUAGAAGUUCACCGUGACGCGGUGACAUCGCGUAGCUUCACUGGAAAUGGACCCUUAUGAAAAUGAGCCUUGGCGCAAUGCGCCAGGAUCGCGGAGGCUCACUGAAUUUGACAAUUGCCAUUUGAUCAUACUCCGUAACGCGCUGAGUGCCAAAUUGGCACACUGUUUCACUAAAAUGGCUCUAACUCUUUGCUCGGAUAUCGAUUUGGACGAAUUUUAUAUCGUUGGAAAGCUAAUUGAAUUUCCUAUGCAAUUGAAGGCUCUAAAAUGAAAAAUACUGAGUAUUUCAAAAAAUUUUAUAUGAAAUUAUUCAUGUACUAAGAUUUAAAUUAAGCUAGAGAAAUACGAGGUAUUACACUGUUACAAAGUGUUCUUUUGUGCCUUUCAUUCUACAUAAAUUCUUUGUAUAGCAUAAGUGUUCCUUGUCACCACUUUGUAGUUUGCUUGGAGGAAGUAUCUUCCUCUCUUUUGGUGCUCAUGUUUGCGGGAAAGGCUUGCUUUUUUGACGAGGCUCUGAAUUACCACACCUCUACUCAGUAUGGAAGACCAACGAUUAAAAAAUAGGGAGCUGUAUAACAAAUGCUAUGUAGGUUUAGCUGGUUUUUUGGCCGUCUUAGUGCUCUUGAUUUAGUUCCAACGAAAUAUGUCUUCCCCAGGUAAAUUUUGUUGCAUCACUUUGGUAUAUGCAUAUUCAUUUAUUAUGCUAACUUUGCUUCAAAAAACUCGGUCGUACUAAAUCUAUUUUUGGAAACAUGGCCGUCAUCUAGGCAUGUUCAUAACAUGCCUCAUGAUCCAAUGAAAAUAUCACUCAUGAUGAAAAUAACUGUUCAAACUUACUAAUCUUGUAAUCUUAGCAUCAUAUGUUAAUGUAGAGUUUCCAAUGAAUUGUUUAAUAGCUUUGUACUAGGCAUAUAAAUAAAGGAUAGGCUUGCGAACUGGUGGCUCAACUUGGUUUUGGCUUAACCAAAAUCCUCCUUACAAACUGAAACCAGCUCAAGUAUCAAAUACAGACUUCAUCUCAAUUAGAAGGGUAUUUACUUUUAAGUCAAUGAAAGGUUAACUAAAAGAAAUCAAUCAAGAAAGCUGGAACUGGCUGAUAACUGAAAAUCAUUAAACUCUUGGACCUAAACAACAUCCCAUGAAACAGAGGAAACAAGAUUUGGUUAGACAUCAAGUAGGAUAUCUAUUUUAUCUCUGUCCUACGCACUAUGAUAAUCCAAAUGCACACAUGGGUAUGGACUAACAAUGGGAGAACGGGACUUACAACUUUGACACUAGGAAAAUUUUUUCCUACCUGCCCGCGUAUUGCUCGGUAGAAUUAAAAAGUGGUAGUAUCAAUGGGACUAGCAUAAUUAUAUCUUGGAAUGACCAGGAAAAGCGGAGGACAUUGUGGAUAAUCUUUGAUUGCUUAGCAAACCGUUGAUCACUCCAGGUCCAAAAGUCUAACAAGUGGACGCUUGGGAGUUGCAUGAUCUUCAGGAAUUGACUAGAAGGUCUUUGGAGAACCACAUUUAUGAUCAUGAAACUACAAAGGUUACAAUGUUUGAAAGCUUGAAUAUUGCUUGGAACAAGUCGAUAAGUGAAAGGAAUUAAAAUAUGUAGAGGCCAAAACCUAAGGUUCAGCACAAUUACAUCAACCUGCACGCAGUUGCGCCACUUUCUGCCACAGGAAUUUUAAAAGGGGACUAUAUGAUAAGAUUGGGCUGGUUGUACAUAAGUUUUUGAAUGUAUAGGAUGAUUGCAUUCGUCAACAUUUCCUUGUGACUCUGAAAUUUUUUUAAUUGAAAUUUUCUUAUAGCAGGACAUGAUUGUCAGUUGUAAUAGCUCAACAUAUAGUCUUUCCAGGUACCAAUAGUUCUGUUGUAGAUUAUACUAAAAAAAAAAAAAAGACUAAUCACAACGCAGAAAGAAUAUCAUAUUUUGUUAAUAUUUAGAUAGCUUACUAUCAUGUCAUCUUGCUCCAAUACAGGUAUACACCUUGGGAAACUUUACGGCAAUUUAUUUGAACCUUCAGUGUUAAAUUUUCCAUUUUCCUCAGGCUACUAGUAUUUACCUCUUCACCUUAGGGAUGUCGUACCUGUUUUUAGGAAUGCCAAAAGUUGGCUGGACUCUUAGCUCUCCCAUCCCGCCGCUAUACAUUUGGAA